rnacentral:tRNA from 2 species
GCCGGAGUGGCGGAAUGGCAGACGCGCGCGACUCAAAAUCGCGUGUCGCAAGACGUGUGGGUUCGACUCCCACCUCCGGCA